rnacentral:tRNA from 1 species
GGUUAUGUCGUUUAAAAGGACGUUAAAUUGCAAAUUUAAAGGAGAAUAAUAUUCUUUAACCU